rnacentral:rRNA from 1 species
GAUCAUGGCUCAGAUUGAACGCUGGCGGAAUGCUUUACACAUGCAAGUCGAACGAUGAACCUUAGCUUGCUAGGGGGAUUAGUGGCGAACGGGUGAGUAAUAUAUCGGAACGUACCUUGUAAUGGGGGAUAACUAGUCGAAAGAUUAGCUAAUACCGCAUACGCCCUGAGGGGGAAAGUAGGGGAUCUUCGGACCUUACGUUAUAAGAGCGGCCGAUAUCUGAUUAGCUAGUUGGUGGGGUAAUGGCCUACCAAGGCGACGAUCAGUAGCUGGUCUGAGAGGACGACCAGCCACACUGGAACUGAGACACGGUCCAGACUCCUACGGGAGGCAGCAGUGGGGAAUUUUGGACAAUGGGCGCAAGCCUGAUCCAGCCAUUCCGCGUGAGUGAAGAAGGCCUUCGGGUUGUAAAGCUCUUUCGCAAGGGAAGAAAACUUACAUUCUAACAAAGUGUGAGGCUGACGGUACCUUGAUAAGAAGCACCGGCUAACUACGUGCCAGCAGCCGCGGUAAUACGUAGGGUGCGAGCGUUAAUCGGAAUUACUGGGCGUAAAGCGUGCGCAGGCGGU